rnacentral:rRNA from 1 species
AGAGUUUGAUUCUGGCUCAGGACAAACGCUGGCGGCAUGCCUAACACUUGCAAGUCGAACGGACGGAGGCGAGGAAUUCUUCGGAAGGAAUCGCCCGAGUUAGUGGCGGAUGGGUGAGUAACGCGUGGGGAACCUACCUUUUAGUGGGGAAUAAUCGUUGGAAACGACGACUAAUACCGCAUACGGUGUAUGGUUCGCAUGAACCAGAUAAGAAAGGCGGCCUUUGAGCUGUCGCUAAGAGAUGGACCCGCGUCUGAUUAGCUAGUUGGUAAGGUAACGGCUUACCAAGGCAACGAUCAGUAGCCGGCCUGAGAGGGUGAACGGCCACAUUGGGACUGAGACACGGCCCAA